rnacentral:rRNA from 1 species
GAUGAACGCUGGCGGCGUGCCUAAUACAUGCAAGUCGAGCGAACAGACGAGGAGCUUGCUCCUCUGACGUUAGCGGCGGACGGGUGAGUAACACGUGGAUAACCUACCUAUAAGACUGGGAUAACUUCGGGAAACCGGAGCUAAUACCGGAUAAUAUAUUGAACCGCAGGGUUCAAUAGUGAAAGACGGUUUUGCUGUCACUUAUAGAUGGAUCCGCGCCGCAUUGGCUAGUUGGUAAGGUAACGGGUUACCAAGGCAACGAUGCGUAGCCGACCUGCGAGGGUGAUCGGCGACACUGGAACGGGGACAGGGACAAGACUCCUGCGGGAGGCAGCAGUAGGGAAUCUUCCGCAAUGGGCGAAAGCCUGACGGAGCAACGCCGCGUGAGUGAUGAAGGUCUUCGGAUCGUAAAACUCUGUUAUUAGGGAAGAACAAAUGUGUAAGUAACUAUGCACGUCUUGACGGUACCUAAUCAGAAAGCCACGGCUAACUACGUG